UGGCUAUGAAACUUUAAGCUGUGUCGGAAUGCAGUUUAUCGUGGAGCCUGCCCGUGGGUUGUGCGAAAACCACAAACCGAAUAGGUCGUCAGACUGAACGAAAACGCAAAAA
rnacentral:sRNA from 12 species